ensembl:lncRNA
GUCCUGGUCAGUUCCUGUCUGGGAGACCAGAUGCUGCUGGAAGUGGUGUUGGAGGGCCAGUAGGAGGCACUCUUUCCUCUGGUCUAAAAAUAUAUAUACCAAUGCCCCAGGGCAGUGAUUGGGGAGACUGCCCUGUGUAGGGUGCCAUCUUUCGGAUGGGACGUUAAACGGGUGUCCUGACUCUCUGAGCUCAUUAAAGAUCCCAUGGCACUUAUAGUAAGAGUAGAGGUGUUAACCCCUGGUGUCCUGGCUAAAUUCUCAAUCUGGCCCUCAAACCAUCAUGGUCACCUAAUAAUCCCCAGUUUACAAUUGGCUCAUUCAUCCCCUCCUCUCCCCUGUAACUAUUCCCCAGGUCGUUGCUGUAAAUAAGAAUGUGUUCUCAGUCAAUUUACCUGGUAAAAUAACAGAUAAAUAAGAAAUAAAUAGUGUGACAGCGUUCUAUUCUACAGCAUUGAAACACAUGAGCAAAACUGUUAGGAUUUGAAAUGAGACUUAGAAAUGUUUUUGUUAAUUAAUGAAUGUGCCACUAUUUAAAUGGAUCUGCUGUAUAACUGGUUUAAUCCUCAACAUGAGAUUAUUUUCAUAUUGUAAAAAAAAAAAAAAAAAAAAAAGGCUUCCUGUGAUGACUGUGAAAAACAAACUGUCAAACUGAAUAAUAUUGUUUCCUUAUUUGGUCGUCUCUUAACAAAUACAAAUAAAAAUCUCCCACAAAUAUGGUAUCUUCUCAAACAAUCAAUCAAUCAAAAUGUAUUUCCAUCUCUUUUAUGUAUCAGUGAUAUACAGAGCUUGACCUUGAGUCGCAAUUAGCAAGUUGGCAUCAUCAUAAGGCAAAUGUUUCCAUUAUAAUCUCCACUGCUUGUCCUCUACUGAGUUGAAAGUUAAUAAAUUAUGUAUUAUCUUGUACUAUACUUUCUUUCUGUCCCAUCCGGGUCUUUUUUUUUCCCCAGUCAGUUUCUCUCUUCCUCUUUGAACAUAAAAGUAACAGAAGGGGUGACGGCCGUCACGUGACAGUGAGCGUUUCGGGUUGCUCCAACUGUUUUCCGUUAUGUUUCGGGACGAUGGUCAUCGUGGUGCGUUCAAGACAACUGGGAACUCG